AGAGCGAACGCUGGCGGCAGGCUUAACACAUGCAAGUCGAGCGGGCGUAGCAAUACGUCAGCGGCAGACGGGUGAGUAACGCGUGGGAACAUACCUUUUGGUUCGGAACAACCCAGGGAAACUUGGGCUAAUACCGGAUAAGCCCUUACGGGGAAAGAUUUAUCGCCGAAAGAUUGGCCCGCGUCUGAUUAGCUAGUUGGUGAGGUAACGGCUCACCAAGGCGACGAUCAGUAGCUGGUCUGAGAGGAUGAUCAGCCACAUUGGGACUGAGACACGGCCCAAACUCCUACGGGAGGCAGCAGUGGGGAAUAUUGCACAAUGGGCGAAAGCCUGAUGCAGCGACGCCGCGUGAGGGAUGACUGCCUUCGGGUUGUAAACCUCUUUCAGCAGGGACGAAGCGAAGUGACGGUACCUGCAGAAGAAGCACCGGCCAACUACGCGCCAGCAGCCGC
rnacentral:rRNA from 1 species